rnacentral:ncRNA from 1 species
ACACAGGUAGGUAGGUAGAGAAUACCUAGGGGCGCGAGACACCUCUCUCUAAGGAACUAGGCAAAAUAGCCCCGUAACUUUGGGAGAAGGGGUGCCUCCUCAAGAGGUCGCAGUGACCAGGCUCGGGUGACUGUUUACCAAAAACACAGGUAUCCGCAAAGUCGUAAGACCAUGUAUGGGGGCUGACGCCUACCCAGUGCCGGAAGGUUAAGGAAUUUGGUGACCUGAUGACAUGGAAGCCAGCGACUGAAGCCUCGAUGAACGGUGGCCGUAACUAUAACGGUCCUAAGGUAGCGAAAUUCCUUGUCGGGUAAGUUUCGACCCGCACGAAAGGCGUAAUGAUCUGGGCACUGUCUCGGAGAGAGACUCGAUGAAAUAGACAUGUCUUUGAAGAUGCAGACUACCUGCACCUAGACAGAAAUACCCUAUGAAGCUUUAAUGUUCCCUGGGAUUGUCUUUGGGUUCUUCUUGCAUAGCUUAGGUGGAAGGCGAAGAAGGCUCCCUCUCGGGGGGUCUCGAGCCACCAGUGAGAUACCACUCUGAAAGAGCUAGAAUUCUAACCUUGUGUUAGGACCUACGGGCCAAGGGACAGUCUCAAGUAGACAAUUUCUAUGGGGUGUAGGCCUCCCAAAAGGUAACGGAGGCGUGCAAAGGUUUCCUCGGGCCGGACAGAAAUCGGCCCUCGAGUGCAAAGGCAGAAGGGAGCUUGAUUGCAAGACCCACCCAUCGAGCAGGGACAAAAGUCAGCCUUAGUGAUCCAAUGGUGCCAAGUGGAAGGGUCGUCACUCAAUGGAUAAAAGUUACUCUAGGGAUAACAGGUUGAUCUUCCCCAAGAGUUCACAUCGAUGGGAAGGUUUGGCACCUCGAUGUCGGCUCUUCGCCACCUGGGGUGGUAGUACGUUCCAAGGGUUGGGAUGUUUGCCCAUUAAAGUGGUACGUGAGCUAGGUUCAGAACGUCGUGAGACAGUUUGCUCCAUAUCCGGUGUGGGUUUUAGAGCAUUGAGAGGACCUUUCCCUAGUACGAGAGGACCGGGAAGGAUGCACCUCUGGUGUACCAGUUAUCCUUCCCA